UUUUUAAAUUUGAAUUUCGAAACGAUGGCAGGAUAUCAACAAAGAGAGCCAAGAAAAUUGUUUGUUACGCGAUAUAUACUCACUUGGAGCUAAAAGAAAAGCCACAAAGGACAAGUUCAAUAUGCAGGUUUACAAUUUGGAAGUGGCACAGGUUCUUUGGAAUGUCUACAACCUUUCAGGAGAAUUUUUUUUUUGAAAAGCAUGGCACAGCAAGAAAAAGAUAUGACACUACAAGACAUUCCAAGUGAUUUUGAAUAAGACAAUUGAUUGACUUUUUCAAUGUAUUCUUAAAUAAAUCAAAUAGUUGAUGUAAAA